ACCUACGGGGGGCAGCAGUAGGGAAUCUUCCACAGUGGACGAAAGUCUGAUGGAGCAACGCCGCGUGAGUGAAGAAGGGUUUCGGCUCGUAAAGCUCUGUUGGUAGUGAAGAAAGAUAGAGGUAGUAACUGGCCUUUAUUUGACGGUAAUUACUUAGAAAGUCACGGCUAACUACGUUCCAGCAGCCGCGGUAAUACGUAGGGGGCAAGCGUUGUCCGGGUUUAUUGGGCGUAAAGCGAGUGCAGGCGGUGCAAAUA
rnacentral:rRNA from 1 species